rnacentral:rRNA from 1 species
AAUAGUCUGCAUUAUUUGUACGUUAGCGACAGAAGAAGCACCGGCUAACUCCGUGCCAGCAGCCGCGGUAAUACGGAGGUGCGAGCGUUAAUCGGAAUUACUGGGCGUAAAGCGCAUGCAGGUGGUUGUUAAGUCAGAUGUGAAAGACCCGGGGCCGUCAACCUCGGAAUUGCAUUGAAACUAGGCAGACUAGUAGGUACUGUAGAGGGGGUAGAAUUUCAGGUGUAGCGGUGAAAUGCGUAGAGAUCUGAAGGAAUACCGGUGGCGAAGGCGGCCCCCUGGACAGAUACUGACACUCAGAUGCGAAAGCGUGGGGAGCAAACAGGAUUAGAUACCCUGGUAG